rnacentral:rRNA from 1 species
GACGAACGCUGGCGGCGUGCCUAAUACAUGCAAGUAGAACGCUGAAGGAGGAGCUUGCUUCUCUGGAUGAGUUGCGAACGGGUGAGUAACGCGUAGGUAACCUGCCUGGUAGCGGGGGACAACUAUUGGCAACGAUAGCUAAUACCGCAUAAGAGUAGAUGUUGCAUGACAUUUGCUUAAAAUGUGCAAUUGCAUUACUACUAGAUGGACCUGGGUUGUAUUAGCUAGUUGGUGGGGUAACGGCGCACCAAGGCAACGAUCCAGAGCGGACUUGAGAGGUGGUCCGCCAACACGGGAAUGGGAACAGGGCCAGGACCCUACGGGGGGGAACAGUUGGGGAUCUUUGGAAAAUGGCGGAAGGCUGGACCAGCAAAGGCGGGUGAGUGGAGGAGGUUUUCGGGUCGUAAAAGUCUGUUGUGAGGGGAGGACGAGUAUGAGGGUGAAAAGUUCACGCUGUGACGGUAUCUUCACAGAAAGCGACGGCUAACUACGUG